GAUGAACGCUGGCGGCGUGCCUAAUACAUGCAAGUCGAGCGAACAGAUGAGGAGCUUGCUCCUCUGACGGUAGCGGCGGACGGGUGAGUAACACGUGGAUAACCUACCUAUAAGACUGGGAUAACUUCGGGAAACCGGAGCUAAUACCGGAUAAUAUAUUGAACCGCAUGGUUCAAUAGUGAAAGACGGUUUUGCUGUCACUGAUAGAUGGAUCCGCGCCGCAUUAGCUAGUUGGUAAGGUAACGGCUUACCAAGGCAACGAUGCGUAGCCGACCUGAGAGGGUGAUCGGCCACACUGGAACUGAGACACGGUCCAGACUCCUACGGGAGGCAGCAGUAGGGAAUCUUCCGCAAUGGGCGAAAGCCUGACGGAGCAACGCCGCGUGAGUGAUGAAGGUCUUCUGAUCGUAAAACUCUGUUAUUAGGGAAGAACAAAUGUGUAAGUACCUAUGCACGUCUUGACGGUACCUAAUCAGAAAGCCACGGCUAACUACGUG
rnacentral:rRNA from 1 species